rnacentral:rRNA from 1 species
UACGUAGGGGGCUAGCGUUGUCCGGAUUUAUUGGGCGUAAAGAGCGUGUAGGCGGCCAGGUAGGUCUGCUGUGAAAACUCGAGGCUUAACCUCGAGAUGUCAUCGGAAACCAUCUGGCUAGAGUCCGGAAGAGGAGAGUGGAAUUCCUGGUGUAGCGGUGAAAUGCGCAGAUAUCAGGAAGAACACCAAUGGCGAAAGCAGCUCUCUGGGACGGUACUGACGCUGAGACGCGAAAGCGUGGGGAGCGAACAGG